rnacentral:rRNA from 1 species
GAUUCCUACGGGAGGCAGCAGUGGGGAAUAUUGCACAAUGGGGGGAACCCUGAUGCAGCGACGCCGCGUGGGCGAGGAAGUAUUUCGGUAUGUAAAGCCCUAUCGGCAGGGAAGAGCAGAGGACGGUACCUCUUGAAUAAGCCACGGCUAACUACGUGCCAGCAGCCGCGGUAAUACGUAGGUGGCAAGCGUUGUCCGGAUUUACUGGGUGUAAAGGGCGUGCAGCCGGGAAGACAAGUCAGAUGUGAAAUCCCGCGGCUCAACCGCGGAACUGCAUUUGAAACUGUUUUUCUUGAGU